rnacentral:rRNA from 1 species
UACGUAGGGGGCUAGCGUCGUCCGGAUUUAUUGGGCGUAAAGAGCGUGUAGGCGGCCAGGUAGGUCAGCUGUGAAAACUCGAGGCUUAACCUCGAGAGGUCGGCUGAAACCAUCUGGCUAGAGUCCGGAAGAGGAGAGUGGAAUUCCUGGUGUAGCGGUGAAAUGCGCAGAUAUCAGGAAGAACACCCGUGGCGAAGGCGGCUCUCUGGUACGUGACUGACGCUGAGACGCGAAAGCGUGGGGAGCGAACAGG